ACUAGGAUUCCCUUAGUAACGGCGAGUGAACCGGGAUGAGCUCAAAUUUAAAAUCUGGCGUCUUUCAGGCGUCCGAGUUGUAAUCUAUAGAGGCGUUUUCCGCGCCGGACCGCGUCCAAGUCUCUUGGAAUAGAGUAUCAAAGAGGGUGACAAUCCCGUACUUGACGCGACAACCGGUGCUCUGUGAUACGUUCUCAAUGAGUCGAGUUGUUUGGGAAUGCAGCUCUAAAUGGGUGGUAAAUUCCAUCUAAGGCUAAAUAUUGGCGAGAGACCGAUAGCGAACAAGUACCGUGAGGGAAAGAUGAAAAGCACUUUGGAAAGAGAGUUAAACAGCACGUGAAAUUGUUAAAAGGGAAACGAUUGAAGUCAGUCGUGUGAAAGGUAUUCAGCCGUCUCUGGCGGUGUAUUUGCCUUUCACGGGUCAACAUCAGUUUGAUCCGGUAGAAAAAGGCGGGAGGAAGGUGGCACCCUCGGGUGUGUUAUAGCCUCCUGUCAUAUGUGCCGGACCAGACUGAGGAACGCAGCUUGCCGCAAGGCCGGGGUUCGCCCACGUACAAGCUUAGGAUGUUGACAUAAUGGCUUUAAACGACCCGUCUUGAAACACGGACC
rnacentral:rRNA from 1 species